UGCAGGUCUGCAUGCGAUGAUGCGAUCAAUACCGAAAGAGUUAAAUAAAGAAGAAAAAUUAAAAGAAGAUUAUACCUCCAAAAUUAACAACGAAUAUUUCCAUUGGUAUGAUCAAUAGAAGAAAACGUUUUUAAUUAUACAUUAUCAAAUUCAUAAUGCGGUUUAAAAAUAAUUCACAAUCGCAUGAAUAUUAUUAAAGCACAAAAUGAUUUUAUUUUUUGUUGUCCACAUUAAUGUAUAAUAUGUUUUUCGUGUUGUCUUAUCGAAGAUAAUACUUUGAACCUUGUGCUCAAUUAUUUUUAUGAAAACGAUGUUUAAAAUACGUCACGAUAUUGAAUUUUUCUACGAAUUUUUUUGAAAUUUGAGUUACGAUAAGCGAAUUAUUAUUAUCAUAUUAUCGUAACAUUCCUUUUUUUC